rnacentral:rRNA from 1 species
AUGGACGGCGACAGGCCGACUCCGGCGGCCGCGGCCGCGUCGGUGAGGUCGGUGCUCGGCGACGACGACCUCUUCCGCGAGAUCCUCCUCCGCCUCGGCUUCCCCAACUGCCUCGUCCGCGCCUCCCUCGUCUCCAAGCGGUGGCUCUUCCACGUCUCCGACCCGGCCUUCCUCUGCCUCUUCCGCGAGCGCAACCCGCCCCGCCUCCUCGGCUUCUGCGUCAGCAACCGCAGUCCCCAGUGCCCCUGGUAUGAGUUCGUGCAGCUCCCGCAGUCCCCGGAGCUCGCCGCCCUCGUACGCCGCGGGGCCUCCUCCUGCAACGACGCCUUCCGCCGCAGCUGCCAAUGCCAGGGUAUCCAACACGUCCGGAACGGCCGCCUCAUCGCCUGGUUCUCCAACGACGGAAGGCUCAAGCACUCCAUCCUCGCGCCGCUGCUCGCCGGGGAGUCCGAAGUGGUCCUCCCGCCGACCCCGCCGAUCUCACCGCCCCACCGGGAGGAGCCCGCUCUAGGGGUGUUCAGUAGGAUUAUCCUACCCGAGGAUGGGAGCCGCGGCUUCAUCACCUUGGAGGUCCCGAAUGCUGCAGCCUUCCUUACAAAAAUGCUACCACCCGUCCGUGGCAAGGUUUUCAUGGUGACCAGCUUUGGGUGCAUCCUGGGUCUAGAUUUGGCCGCGGCAAGGUUCCUCAAGCUCGAGCUCCCAGCUCAAAUAGGGCGCAAUUACAUGCUCUCAUCUGCCGAGGGUUCCGGGAUAUAUCUUGUCAAUGCAGAUGGGUUUCAGCUCAGUGUGUGGCUCCAUCGGAUGAUGAGCAACAGCGAUGGUGCGGGCGGCUGGCUGCUGGUGGACUCAUUUUGUGUCCGCGAGGCAUACAGUUCUGCUGGUCACAAUUGGGUUUGGAUUCCACAAGAUGGCGAUUUUCUUGGUGUUGCUGCAGUUGGGGACAAUGCCGAGUUUGUAUUCUUGGAUUAUGUGAGAUAUGGUGUUGUCCUUUAUGUUCAUCUGAGGAGCAGGGUGGUUGAGAAGGUGUAUGAGCAGGCACCGUAUCAUCAUGGAUUUUUUCGGCUGGGUUUGAGCCACAUACAUGUCUCUCCCUUUAUGAUGAUCUGGCCGCCUGUUUUCCCUACACUGAAAAGGGACACAAUCAAGAGCAAUGAUCCGGCUGUGCUUUGGUCUUUGAACUAUCAUCGCUAG